ensembl:miRNA
GCUGAACUCUAGCCUGAGCAACAGAGUGAGAUGGUCUUGCUUUGUUGCCCAGGCUGGAGUCCAGU